GUGGAUUGUGGCUCAGCGGUAGUGUGUUCGCCUAGCACAUGCGAGGACCUGGGUUUGAUCCUCAGCACCACA
rnacentral:tRNA from 1 species